rfam:Cucumis sativus cultivar 9930 chromosome 1, whole genome shotgun sequence.
GGUUCAAUGCCACAUUGUCGAUAGCUGAAGGGUCGUGACCGGCGAUGCUAUGAUUGAUCCAAUAACAAGUUUUUCACAUCUUCAUAGGAAUCUAUUUAUCUUUUUUCUAUAGAUUUACGGAGCCGCUUUCUGUGAUUACACUU